GGGGCGUAGCUCAGCUUUGGUUAGAGCGCCUGCCUGUCACGCAAGAGGUCGCGGGUUCGAGUCCCGUCGCUCC
rnacentral:tRNA from 1 species